GAUGAACGCUAGCUACAGGCUUAACACAUGCAAGUCGAGGGGAAACGGCAUUGAGUGCUUGCACUCUUUGGACGUCGACCGGCGCACGGGUGAGUAACGCGUAUCCAACCUUCUCAUUACUGUGGGAUAACCUGCCGAAAGGCAGACUAAUACCGCAUAGUCUUCGAUGACGGCAUCAGAUUUGAAGUAAAGAUUUAUCGGUAAUGGAUGGGGAUGCGUCUGAUUAGCUUGUUGGCGGGGUAACGGCCCACCAAGGCUACGAUCAGUAGGGGUUCUGAGAGGAAGGUCCCCCACAUUGGAACUGAGACACGGUCCAAACUCCUACGGGAGGCAGCAGUGAGGAAUAUUGGUCAAUGGACGGAAGUCUGAACCAGCCAAGUAGCGUGCAGGAUGACGGCCCUAUGGGUUGUAAACUGCUUUUGUAUGGGGAUAAAGUUAGGGACGUGUCCCUAUUUGCAGGUACCAUACGAAUAAGGACCGGCUAAUUCCGUG
rnacentral:rRNA from 1 species